rnacentral:lncRNA from 1 species
UUAUUAGGCAAUGAAUUGAUUGUACAUGUAGUUUACAUGGCAUAGCCAGAAAUCUCACUAGGGGUGUUCAAACUUUAAAGAAGCUAAUUUUUUUUUUCUAGAUGUAUGGGUGCACAAAUUUUUUUAAAUCAAACUAAGCUACAUUCAGCUAAACAAUAAAAACAAUUUUUUUUCUCGAUGAACUCGUGAAUACACUAGACUACUCCGGUGCCUCACUCAACUAUAUUAAGGGUGUUCAAAAAGUAAUAUUUUAACUAUAUAAAGUAAUAUUUGAUCUUUCGGCGAAGGGUGUUUGCGUGACCACCCUUGCCAUAGUGUAGCUACGCCACUGUACAUGCUUUCAUCUUCAUGUUCUGUUUAUUUUUAAUUUCAUUGAUAUGAUUGUGGAAGUAUGAGUAAGUAUGUCACUCCUUAGCUUCAGUUCUUGUUCACUUUAUUGGAUAUGCAUAUGUAUUUGACAUGAUAACAUGUAAUAUGAGAAGGACGCAUAAUCUACUUGUAGGACUUUAAUCCCAGUUAUGACUUAAGGUAUUAGGUGAGAAUAUAUGUUUGUUUUGUGAAGCUUUAAUGUAGUAAUAUGGGGCUUUCUUUUUGGUGGUAUUAGAAACUUAGGUCAACAGGGGCGAAGAAAACGUUGAAGGAGGAGGCAAUGGAUAGUUUGAAAGCUAUGACGCCAACACCAGUUGACGCCAAAGCUCCACCUUCACCUGUUCAAGCACUGUUGGGAGGUUUAACAGCGGGUGUUAUUGCACUUCUCUAGUUUGAAAGCUAUGACGCCGACACCAGUUGACGCCAAAGCUCCACCUUCACCCGUUCAAGCACUGUUGGGAGGUUUAACAGCGGGUGUUAUUGCACUUCUCCUUUACAAGUUCACUACCACCAUUGAAGCUUCUCUCAAUCGCCAGGCGCUUUCAGAUAGUUUCUCGGUUUGUCUCUCAUUUGCCUUUGAAUUUGCUGUUUCUUUGCUCCCAUUUUUCCAUUGUUACCCCCACUAUGCAUAGUAAGUUGAGUAAAGAUUCAGACAACUCAUUCAGAAUAGGAAAAAGGGGGAGGGGGAGAAAAUCUGUACCAUACUUCUAUUGUUUACC